rnacentral:rRNA from 1 species
CCUACGGGUGGCAGCAGUGGGGAAUAUUGGGCAAUGGACGCAAGUCUGACCCAGCAACGCCGCGUGGGUGAAGGAGCGUUUCGGCGCGUAAAGCCCUAUCGGCAGGGAAGAAGGAGGACGGUACCUGACUAAGAAGCCCCGGCUAACUACGUGCCAGCAGCCGCGGUAAUACGUAGGGGGCAAGCGUUAUCCGGAUUUACUGGGUGUAAAGGGGGCGCAGACGGCAGCGCAAGCCAGGAGUGAAAGCCCGGGGCCCAACCCCGGGACUGCUCUUGGAACUGCGCGGCUGGAGUGCAGGAGGGGCAGGCGGAAUUCCUGGUGGAGCGGUGAAAUGCGUAGAUAUCAGGAGGAACACCGGUGGCGAAGGCGGCCUGCUGGACUGCGACUGACGUUGAGGCCCGAAAGCGUGGGGAGCAAACAGGAUUAGAUACCCGGGUAGUC